rnacentral:rRNA from 1 species
GACAGAGGGUGCAAACGUUGCUCGGAAUUACUGGGCGUAAAGCGCGUGUAGGUGGAUUGGUGUGUCAGAUGUGAAAGCCCUGGGCUCAACCCAGGAACUGCACCUGAAACUACCAGUCUUGAGUGGUGGAGAGGGAAGUGGAAUUCCUGGUGUAGAGGUGAAAUUCGUAGAUAUCAGGAGGAACACCAGUGGCGAAGGCGGCUUCCUGGACACCAACUGACGCUGAGGAGCGAAAGCGUGGGGAGCGAACAGG